UCAAAUUUGAAAUCUGGCAUCUUUGGUGUCCGAAUUGUAAUUUGGAGAGGCAACUUCAGGUAGGACCCAGUCUAUGUUCCUUGGAACAGGACGUCAUAGAGGGUGAGAAUCCCGUUCUUGACUGGAUGUUCCUGCUAGUAUGUAGUGCCUUCUACGAGUCGAGUUGUUUGGGAAUGCAGCUCAAAAUGGGUGGUAAAUUUCAUCUAAAGCUAAAUAUUGGCGAGAGACCGAUAGCGCACAAGUAGAGUGAUCGAAAGAUGAAAAGCACUUUGAAAAUAGAGUCAAAAAGUACGUGAAAUUGUUGAAAGGGAAGCGCUUGAGACCAGACUCAGCCUUUGGCAAACAAGUGUCCUUCUGGGCAGUGCACUUGCCUCGGGUUGGGCCAGUAUCAGUUAGGAUGGUAGGAGAAAGGCUAGGGGAAUGUGACUCCUAUCUGGAGUGUUAUAGACCCUGGCGUCAUGCUACCUGUCCUGACUGUGGACCGCGCGUUAGCUAGGAUACUGGCGUAAUGGUCUUCAGCGGCCCGUCUU
rnacentral:rRNA from 1 species